AGUAUGUCUUAGAUCUUGGAUAGCUCAGAUUUUUUAAAUUUAAAGCUAGUCACAGAUGUAAUUCUCAACUAGCCAAAGUGAAGAAAGCCCAAUUUGGGACAACGUCUAAAAUAAGAAUUGCUAGAAACUUAUGUAUUAGGCAUCUGUUACUGGUUAUUUCCAAUUCUGACUUUUUAAAAUGUAGGGUUUUUUUUUUUUUUUAAACCAGUACACAUCUGGAGGCAUACACAUUGAAGCAAAUACAGCUGUGGUUAUUUACAUGAUUAAUCACAAUUCUGGCAAUGCAUUUAGUGUUUAAGGUAAAGUGUAUGCUUUAUAAGGCCAUCUACAUAUUGAAGGAUGGCAUUAGACAUGAGGUAUAUCAGAUAUCAUGGGUAUCAUUGUUUGGUUAUAUUUUGUCCUUUUCAAAACUAUUUCUGGAGUUAACCCUUUAAAACUGAGUGAUUAAAAUUGCUUGGUUGUCAGUGUAGUGUUAGAGUUGAAAAUUAAAACACAAUUCAGAGAUCCAAGAAGAUGUCAGCUAAACCCAGAGAUUACAAUAGUUACAGCUUUUUCAUGUUAUACAUUGAGUAGAGUUUGUAUGUAUUGUAACUUACAUAUAUUGUAACAUGUAUGUAUAGUAUAGAGAAUUUGUAAGUGUUGGACAUACUAUUUUGGGGCAUUAUACCCUAUCACAUAAGCUUUUUAUGUAAUAUAGUUAAGUACAUAAUCCAGGUUAAUACACUGUUUAAAAUAUCCAUCCAAAAUAGAUUCUGGUUUGUCAGUGUUAGCACUAUUUUUCUUAACAGUGCUCAUAUUAAUUUUAACUGCUUAAUAAGUUGUAAUAGAAAGGUUAUUUCUCAGAUUCCUCAUCUAUGAUAAUUGGAAGGGUGGUAUGCUAUUACGUAGACAUUAGUGCUUCUUACUGCUUAAGAUAAUGGUAUUAAGGCUACAAAGUUUAUCUAGAUUUAUCAGAUAAUUAACGAAGAAUUUGGCCAGCUCUUUCGUCUUUGUUUACUCAGUAGUGUCAUAACUAUGAAGUACUGUAUAGUAAUACGAAAGAACUAUAGAGGUAUUGUUAUGAAUCUUUUUUAUAUGUUCUACCUAAAAUGUUGCUCACAGUAUUCUUUUUCCCCCUCUUCAUGAGCCAGUUCCUUUUUCCUGGGACUUUAUCUCUACUUUUUCCUUUCCUUUCCCAGCCAUUAAAAUAGGGUGAGAUGGUUAUUAGACGAGGGAGAGAUGCUUUAUCUUUGUUGUAAAUGAUCAUCAGAGUUUAACUUUAUAAACUAAAAAAAUUGUACCAUUCUUAAAUAUUUUUCCCCUCUCUAAGUUAAAAGAAGUAAAGUCAACUUGAAGACAUCACUUAAUAACUAUUGAAAUAACAUUUUGAAUCAAAUCAUAAUUAGAUGAAAAAUUUUGUUUCUUAAAAGAUAGUUGCUUUAAAAGAUAAGGCUCUACAGUAUUUUUCAAAGACUUACAAGGUUAGCAGAAAAGUGUAAAAUAUUAUUUUAUAUUUCUGGCUUGAAUCUUUUGACACAUGAUUAUUUCCUUUUUAGGGACCAAUGCAGAUGGAAGCGACCUACUUAACAGUUUAGGAAGCUGGUUAUUUGGAAGUGGUUCAAGCUGAGUAGAAUCUGCUUGUUGUCUUAGAACCUUGAAACAGUUCUGUUGUGAUUUUGAGUUAUGUCACCCCCUUUACUCAAGAACAUAGUAUCUAGUCUUUAUUUAAAUUAUUUUUUUGUAACAUAAAACUCCAUUAGACAUCUUUAUAAAGACUCCUUAAAAUAACUAUCAAAUAGAUAAUUUCUAUUUCCAGGCUCAACCCACAUAGCAUAUUUAAAGCUUGAGAUUUGAGGUUAGAGAAUAGUGGUAAUACGUACGUACUUUCUCACCAUUCUAAACAAAAGCUGAAAUCUCAAUCUAAACCUCCCCUCUACCACUACCAAAGGGAGGAAGAAAAUCUAGAAAACUAAAAACUACAAUAUUCUUCUUUAUGCAUAUUUAUGUUUAUUCUUCCUUUAAAAAUAUAAAUUUUGUAUCAGUUGUAUUAGGCAGAUACUAGUGGUGGCUUACAGUUUGGUCUACUUUUAAAUAUUUGUAUAUAAGUUAUCCUUACGUUUUGCAGUUUUGAAUUUCACACUGGUAUCUUCCUGCCAUUCAACUUGCUUUAGGGUUGUUGGUGUUGUGUUUUGAAAGAUUGUGAAGUCGACCUUCUAAAAAUGAGUUCAAAGAAAAAUCAGUAAAGUAAAUAUCCUCCUGAAAUUGUAAGUUUCUUGGCAAGUAGAAUUUUUUGUAUUAACUUCUGUUUUAGGUUAUCUGCAAACUCAAGAAUUGAGAGAACUAGACAGCAUAAGCUCAGAUUUAAGGAAGAUACCAUUUUUCAUAGAUAUGGUUUUAGCUGUUUUUGAAUUGUGAGUGUUCAGUAGCAAGCUUUUCAAAGUUUUUGUAAUUGUGGAAAUAAUGUAUGAGAAAUAUUUAGACAGCAUCUGUUUCUAUUUUUAGACUGGGCUGGCUUAGAUGAAGAUGAAGAUGCACAUGUCUGGGAGGAUAAUUGGGAUGAUGACAAUGUAGAGGAUGACUUCUCUAAUCAGUUACGAGCUGAACUAGAGAAACAUGGUUAUAAGAUGGAGACUUCAUAGCAUCCAGAAGAAGUGUUGAAGUAACCUAAACUUGACCUGCUUAAUACAUUCUAGGGCAGAGAACCCAGGAUGGGACACUAAAAAAAUGUGUUUAUUUCAUUAUCUGCUUGGAUUUAUUUGUGUUUUUGUAACACAAAAAAUAAAUGUUUUGAUAU
rnacentral:lncRNA from 1 species